AUUGAACGCUGGCGGCAUGCCUUACACAUGCAAGUCGAACGGCAGCGGGGACUUCGGUCCGCCGGCGAGUGGCGAACGGGUGAGUAAUGUAUCGGAACGUACCAUUCAGUGGGGGAUAACUAUCCGAAAGGAUAGCUAAUACCGCAUAUUCUGUGAGCAGGAAAGCAGGGGAUCGCAAGACCUUGCGCUGAUUGAGCGGCCGAUAUCAGAUUAGCUAGUUGGUGAGGUAAAGGCUCACCAAGGCGACGAUCUGUAGCGGGUCUGAGAGGAUGAUCCGCCACACUGGGACUGAGACACGGCCCAGGCUCCUACGGGAGGCAGCAGUGGGGAAUAUUGGACAAUGGGGGGAACCCUGAUCCAGCCAUGCCGCGUGUGUGAAGAAGGCCUUAUGGUUGUAAAGCACUUUAAGCGAGGAGGAGGCUCUUUUGGUUAAUACCCAAGAUGAGUGGACGUUACUCGCAGAAUAAGCACCGGCUAACUCUGUGCCAGCCGCCGCGGUAA
rnacentral:rRNA from 1 species